rnacentral:lncRNA from 1 species
GGGAAAAGACGGCCAUUGUUUCAAUUUUUAGGGGGGAUAUCUUUUGGUAGUCUACAUACAAAGAAUGAGCAAAAGAACAGCUAGAACAUAUAGAAAGGCUGACAAUAAUGAAACUAAUUGUUGUUUAUUGUUAUUUCAUUUCCUUAGUCAAGAAUUCAUCAUAGAGACAAUUUGGACCAAUGAGAUCUGCACCUUCUAAAUCAAAACAUUUGAUUAAAGUUGGGAGUUAAUUAUCCAAAAUUCAAUUGAAUUUAACAACUACUACAAUAUACUUUAGAAUUUUAAUUAUGUACAACUGAACGGAAGGCUAAGACCAUUCUCAAUUUUUUGUGACAGUAUUCUCAAGAAAGUGAGGACUGAAAAAUCUAUUCAGUUUUAAUUUUCCAUUGAUAAAGUUCCCAGUUACAACUCUCAUCACAGGGAUACAUGUACUUAUAAAAUCAAAUAUGAUUGAUAUAAGCUGUGUGAAGUUUGUUUCCAGAUCCCACA